rnacentral:rRNA from 1 species
GACGAACGCUGGCGGCGUGCCUAAUACAUGCAAGUCGAACGCUGAAGGAGGAGCUUGCUUCUCUGGAUGAGUUGCGAACGGGUGAGUAACGCGUAGGUAACCUGCCUGGUAGCGGGGGAUAACUAUUGGAAACGAUAGCUAAUACCGCAUAAUAGCAGUUGUUGCAUGAUAACUGUUUGAAAGGUGCAAUUGCACCACUACCAGAUGGACCUGCGUUGUAUUAGCUAGUUGGUGGGGUAACGGCUCACCAAGGCGACGAUACAUAGCCGACCUGAGAGGGUGAUCGGCCACACUGGGACUGAGACACGGCCCAGACUCCUACGGGAGGCAGCAGUAGGGAAUCUUCGGCAAUGGACGGAAGUCUGACCGAGCAACGCCGCGUGAGUGAAGAAGGUUUUCGGAUCGUAAAGCUCUGUUGUAAGAGAAGAACGAGUGUGAGAGUGGAGAGUUCACACUGUGACGGUAUCUUACCAGAAAGGGACGGCUAACUACGUG